GACGAACGCUGGCGGCGUGCUUAACACAUGCAAGUCGAACGGAAAGGCCCUGCUUUUGUGGGGUGCUCGAGUGGCGAACGGGUGAGUAACACGUGAGUAACCUGCCCUUGACUUUGGGAUAACUUCAGGGAACUGGGGCUAAUACCGGAUAGGAGCUCCUGCUGCAUGGUGGGGGUUGGAAAGUUUCGGCGGUUGGGGAUGGACUCGCGGCUUAUCAGCUUGUUGGUGGGGUAGUGGCUUGCCAAGGCUUUGACGGGUAGCCGGCCUGAGAGGGUGACCGGCCACAUUGGGACUGAGAUACGGCCCAGACUCCUACGGGAGGCAGCAGUGGGGAAUAUUGCACAAUGGGCGGAAGCCUGAUGCAGCAACGCCGCGUGCGGGAUGACGGCCUUCGGGUUGUAAACCGCUUUCGCCUGUGACGAAGCGUGAGUGACGGUAAUGGGUAAAGAAGCACCGGCUAACUACGUG
rnacentral:rRNA from 1 species